GCGGAAUUAGCUCAGUUGGUAGAGCGCUUGCCUUACAAGCAAGAUGUCAGCGGUUCAAGUCCGUUAUUCCGCACCA
rnacentral:tRNA from 1 species